AAUGAUUCCAUUAUCAGAUAAUCUCUCAGAUAGUGAUGCCUAUAAUAUUGUUUAUAAAGACAUGUCCUUGUCUGUUUUCCUUUCAUCACAGGAUAAUGGAAGUAAACCAAGGAGGUAUACGUGUGGGAUUGUGUCCGGAAUUGGUGGGUUCUUGGUCUCACUGACUUCAAGAAUGAAGCCGCGGACCCUCGCGGAUUCGUAGCUACAAAACCUAGUAUUUGUUACUCUUGUUUCCUUUGUAUAGAUUGCCCAAGACUGUGGUAUCAAACUGGACUUUAACAAUAUAAUACGCCACUGAUCUCUCAGGUUUAUUUAGCUGAAGUGUCAUUUGGUCAUGUCUAAACCCUGUGCUGGUCUGGCAGUGAAUGAGGCAUUCAAUGUAUUUCCUAUUCUGUCUGGUUGGCUUGCUGCUUAAAAAUCAGAAUACAGAAGAGAAGACAGUCUUGUGGAGGGUCAAAGGAGCCACUGUUUGUAGUUAUUUGGGAUCUUUGAGGAAACCCCUGCUAAAAUAACUUGAUUGGAGAUUUUCCUUAGUCUGGACCAAACCUUCCCAUUAUUGGACACAGAUGGUCAGCUAGUAAUCAAUCAUCUAUAAUUAUGCUUUGGAAAAACCUCAUGAGCAAAGACCCUCGACUUGUAGUCAAAGCUACAAUUUGUGUCAAGCAGCUCCAUUAGAUGUCUCAUUUCCCAGCCAUCAGGAGGAGGAAAGAGGGAAUGAAGAACAAGCUUCUUCCUGUGGGUGUGACCCAGAGGUUGUUCGUGUCACUUCUAUUCACAUUUGCUUGUGUAGAACUUACACAAUCAUACUUAACUUCAAGAAAGAUUGGGCAACAUAGUUUAUAGCGGGGAGGAUUUAUGCCCUGAAAUUGAUGGUGUCAUCUUUUCAUCUUCCCUCUCUCACCAUUAGCAUGUAAUCUGUAACUGAAUUUGAACAAUCCAACUUCCAAAUGAUUUCCAUUUUUCUCCAUAUUCCUAACAACACUUUAGUCUAAAGCGUCCUCAUCCUUGCCUAGUUUACUACAAUAACCUAAUUGGUCAGCGUGCUUCCAUUCUUGCCCCACCAAGUCAUUUCUGACACCGUGGCCGCUAAUUCUUAAGAAUAGAAACCAAAUCAUCACUCUUCUUUAAGGCCUUUAGUGUCUAUUUCCAUAGAAUAAAAUCCAUACCCUGCACCAUGAGCCGUAAGACCUGGCAAUGACCUGGCUCUAGUGUACCCAGUGCUAUCCUUGCACCAUGCUUUCCACCAGUCACUAUGUUCUGGCUUCUCUGGCCUCCACCUUUUUCUAGAACACAUUGAUCCUUUCCCCACCUCAGGCCCUUAUCCCUGCUAUUCUUCAUCCUGUAAAACUUUUGCUGGGAUCUCCGCGUGGCUGGCUCGCCCUCAUCUCUUGGACAUUUCCCAGGAUUGGACGAGGCCAGUAAGGUGAAAGAGUAGAGGCCUGAAGAUUCCAGAGAGCUAGUAACAACUUCACUGAAGUGGCUGAGAUCCACAGUGUGUCAGGAGGUGUUUCUAGAGAGGUACAGUAGAUGGGAAAUGAGAGGACAUGAAUUCAGUAAGCUCCUUAACCUCCUGCCUCAUUUAUCAAAUGGGUCUGAUGAAAGUGAUAUAUAUGAAAGCACCUGGCAUAAUAUUGGUCAGAUUGUGGUGCUUGAUGAUGGAAUGGUGCAUAAAUAAAUAAACACGGGCUCUCAAUCAAU
rnacentral:lncRNA from 1 species